rnacentral:tRNA from 2 species
GGACAGAUGGGUGAGCGGCUGAAACCACACCCCUGCUAAGGGUGCAAGUCUUAAUUGGGCUUCGAGGGUUCAAAUCCCUCUCUGUCCGCCA